GACGAACGCUGGCGGCGUGCUUAACACAUGCAAGUCGAACGGAAAGGCCCUGCUUUUGUGGGGUGCUCGAGUGGCGAACGGGUGAGUAACACGUGAGUAACCUGCCCUUGACUUUGGGAUAACUUCAGGAAACUGGGGCUAAUACCGGAUAGGAGCUCCUGCUGCAUGGUGGGGGUUGGAAAGUUUCGGCGGUUGGGGAUGGACUCGCGGCUUAUCAGCUUGUUGGUGGGGUAGUGGCUUACCAAGGCUUUGACGGGUAGCCGGCCUGAGAGGGUGACCGGCGACAUGGCGACUGAGAUACGGCCCAGACUCCUACGGGAGGCAGCAGUGGGGAAUAUUGCACAAUGGGCGGAAGCCUGAUGCAGCAACGCCGCGUGCGGGAUGACGGCCUUCGGGUUGUAAACCGCUUUCGCCUGUGACGAAGCGUGAGUGACGGUAAUGGGUAAAGAAGCACCGGCUAACUACGUG
rnacentral:rRNA from 1 species